GGCAGCGUGUCCGAGUGGUUUAAGGAGAUGGAUUUGAAAUCCAUUGGGGUUUCCCUGCAUAGGUUUGAAUCCUGCCGCUGUCG